rnacentral:rRNA from 1 species
GAUGAACGCUGGCGGUAUGCUUAACACAUGCAAGUCGAACGGUCACUUCGGUGAUAGUGGCGGACGGGUGAGUAACGCGUGAGAAUCUGUCUUCAGGUCGGGGACAACAGUUAGAAAUGACUGCUAAUACCGGAUGUGCCUUUGGGUGAAAGAUUUAUUGCCUGAAAAAGAGCUCGCGUCAGAUUAGCUAGUAGGUGGUGUAAGAGACUACCUAGGCUCCGAUCUGUAGCUGGUCUGAGAGGACGAUCAGCCACACUGGAACUGAGACACGGUCCAGACUCCUACGGGAGGCAGCAGUGGGGAAUUUUCCGCAAUGGGCGCAAGCCUGACGGAGCCAUACCGCGUGAGGGACGAAGGCUUUUGGGUCGUAAACCUCUUUUCUCCGGGAAGAUGAUGACGGUACUUGAGGAAUAAGCAUCGGCUAACUCUGUG